GUGUCAGCCGCCGCGGUAAUACGUAGGGUCCGAGCGUUGUCCGGAAUUAUUGGGCGUAAAGAGCUCGUAGGCGGUCCGUUAAGUCGGAAGUGAAAUCUCAAGGCUCAACCUUGAAAUCGCUUUCGAUACUGGCGGACUUGAGGCAGGUAGGGGAAGGUGGAAUUCCUGGUGUAGCGGUGAAAUGCGCAGAUAUCAGGAGGAACACCGGUGGCGAAGGCGGCCUUCUGGGCCUGUUCUGACGCUGAGGAGCGAAAGCGUGGGGAGCAAACAGGAUUAGAUACCCCCGUAGUCC
rnacentral:rRNA from 1 species